AAAAGAAAAUUAUACGAAUUCUAGGUUUAUAAAUAUAAAAAUUAAAAGAAUAAACCCCAAAAGGCCACAGACCCAGGGCUAAGCCCUGCAGCCAGGACUAGCAGGCCAUAAAGAUAAAGGAGCACAGGAAACACUGUUCAGGCAGGACUGACAAGCCAUAAAGAAAAGGAAUGCAGGAACCAGCCUGAGUUAAUGGGACUGAUUCAUGGGACGUCUGGCAGGAAGACAUCUCCCCCCAGCUCACUGAGGGCCAUCCUCCGGCCCCUGAUAAGCCCCUGACUUCUAGCACGUACUCUUUCUGCUUUGUUCUCACUGCUAUGUUUGAAUGAGCCAAUUGUAUGUAACCACGCCAAAACCCCCUAGCCUUCUCUAUAUAACCCUCUGACUUUUGAGUUUCGGGGCCGACACCUCUGUCUCCUGCGCGGGAUAUGUGUCGGCCCGGAGAUCUCUGUAAUAGGUCUCCGUAAUAAACCUUGCCUUUGCUUAUUACAUCCAAAAUGGUCUCUCUGUGUCUGGGGUCCGCAAUUUCCCAAGACUUGAGUAAGGGUCUCUCUGCGUGGGAUCUUUCAUAUUUAUGGGGGCUCGUCCGGGAUCUUCGCGACCACCCCAGACUCCGAAGACCCCUUGGAGGCUAAAAGACCUACAGGUGAUACAGAAAGAAAUCUGCUCACAGCUGACAGCAGCCUAUGCCCUGGAGACCCCUGAGACAUCCCAUCAGUUCCAGGUCGGAAGCAGCUACACUGAGCCCAGACACUCGAGCCUCGCUGGAAAGGACCGUACCUGGUGCUGCUGACCACCCUGACAGCCGUCAAUUCUCAGCCCUCACCAGCCGUGUACUAGCUGUUAGGGCUGAGAGCUGGGACCUAGAGGGAAAUUCAGUCAUGUUUGUCCUGGGUUCCAUCGAGAUAGGUGUGGAGAUAGGCUUGAUUUCUAUUACAAAUGAUGUAACAUUACAUAUGUUAAUACUCCUAACACUUCUUGGGACUGUGCCUCAGGGAUCACUACCUAUAUAAGUUUAGAAGUUCUAAAAGACAGUCAUGACCUUGGUAUAUAGGUUUAGAUAGUGUCCAGAUAGAAUCCUGAUGCCAAAGACUUUUUAGCUGACCUCCAAGAAUACCUAACCUCCCUCUCAGAGGUAGUCCUUCAAAAUAAAAAAAGAUUAGACCUGAUAUUCCUUAAAGAAGGAGCCUGUGUGCUACACUAAAAAAAUGUUGCUUAUUCAAGAAUAAUUAAAGACUCCAUAAAUAAACUUAAAAAAGGUUAGACAAAGACAGAAAAAAAAAAAAAACACAUAAGAGAUGGUUCGAGAGCUAGUUUAGUAGAUCUCCCUGGAUGACUACCCUACACUCUGCUACAGCUGGGCCAUUAUUAAUAAUUUUCUUGGUUUUAGUUUUUGGCUCCUGCGUGACAAACAGGUUAAUUGCUUUUGUUAAAAAUUGAGUGGGUGCUGUGCGGUUGAUGGUUGUGAGACAACAGUACCAGUCAGUUAGGACAACUGGUGAGACCAAAUAAGACUUGAUAUCAAAAUUCUAAGAUUAGAAUUAUUUAAUAGGAGAAGACGGGAAUGAAAAGAAAAUUAUACGAAUUCU